UACAGGGGGGGCAAGCGUUGUUCGGAAUUACUGGGCGUAAAGGGCUCGUAGGUGGCCAACUAAGUCAGACGUGAAAUCCCUCGGCUUAACCGGGGAACUGCAUCUGAUACUGGAUGGCUUGAGUUUGGGAGAGGGACGCGGAAUUCCAGGUGUAGCGGUGAAAUGCGUAGAUAUCUGGAGGAACACCGGUGGCGAAGGCGGCGUCCUGGACCAACACUGACACUGAGGAGCGAAAGCCAGGGGAGCAAACGGG
rnacentral:rRNA from 1 species